rnacentral:rRNA from 1 species
GACGAACCGUGCGAACGUUGUUCGGAAUCACUGGGCUUAAAGGGCGCGUAGGCGGGCGGGCAAGCCCGGGGUGAAAUCUUUCGGCUUAACCGGAAAAGUGCCUCGGGGACUGCUCGUCUGGAGUGAGGUAGGGGCCGCGGGAACUUCCGGUGGAGCGGUGAAAUGCGUUGAUAUCGGAAGGAACGCCGGUGGCGAAAGCGCGCGGCUGGCCCUCAACUGACGCUGAGGCGCGAAAGCUAGGGGAGCGAACGGGAUUAGAUACCCGGUAGUCCUAGCCCUAAACGAUGGGUACUAGGUAGUGGGCUUGACAUGGGCUCACUGCCGUAGCAAAAGUGCUAAGUACCCCGCCUGGGGAGUAUGGUCGCAAGGCUGAA